AACAGUGGAUACUAUCUGCAGAAUCUUCUCUAGCUUGCUAGAUCAAGAGAGAUUGAAGAUAAGAAAAGUUGGUGUUUACCACCACAGUGAUUUGUUUCCCAGUUCUGUGUCUGAAAGCCUGGCUGCCAAACCUCCAUACAACAAAUAUCUAUAACGUUUUAUUGUUCAGUUUUUAUUUGUAAACAUCCAUGUCUGCAUUACAGGGUUAGUGUGCGUAAUUGACGUGAUUUACAGUUUUUACAAUGAGGCAAUUCAUCGUUCACCAAGGUCAUUGACAUUUGUCUGCUAUACAUAGUACAAUUUAUGUGUAAAAUAAUAAUCAUUUUUCAAGAGGGAUUUUUGCAAUACCAUGGAGCAAGCACAGAGACAAAAAAAAUCUGAUGCAUUCUCUAAAUUGGUACCAGAAUAUUUAUGAGACUAAUAUAAAAUUUAUGUAUACAUGUACAUUCUUUAGAAUUGUUACCUAUAUCAGUAAAAUUAUUUUUAUGAUGAAUUUGCUGUAAUUUAUUGUACAUGCGUUGAUCUGCUUGAAAGAAAACUUGUCUGUUGAUGUAAAGUGCUUGUUAAAUCAAAGGGAUUAGGCACAAGUUCAAACACUUAGAUAGCUUUCUUCCAAAAAGUGCCUGUUAAAAACAAUAAGUACACUAAGAAGCUCCCAAGAUCUACCACACAAAUUUAUGUACCGAAGUGAUUUUGGUGUUUUAACUGGGGUGCCAUUACAGUGAAAACUGCCUAAUCUGACACCUAUGCAAUCUGUUCCACUAGCCAUUCUGACCCAUAUUUUCCUUCUCAAUUUCACAUUAUUCUUUUUUACACUGUUUAUUCUGGCACACUGUGUAUUCUGACAAAAAAAUAGUUUCCCAGUGCAUGUCAUUAGUAAGACAGGAUUCACUGUAUUAUAUUGAAUGGAAGUCAACGUUAAUGUAUGUAGAUUUUACAUUCUAGCCUGUGAAAACGUUCAUUGCAUCAUUUUAAACAUGAUACACUGUAUUUACCUUUCAUUAAAAAGGAAAUACUAUCAUUCCAAUAACGGUGUGUCACUUACUUUGCUCGAUCGAGCGUGCAAAUAUUUGGGCGAGGCUUCUCAUAGAUUUCCAUGAGACAAGCAGGUUUAACCUUUGUUCUCAGUGACCAAUCACAAUGAAAGAAUGACAUAGUGUGGUCAUCCAAACUCACUUUUACUGAACAAAAUUUGCAAGCUCAAUCGAGUGAAGUGACAUGCUGUUAUUGUAAUGAUAGUAUAUUGUCAUUUCCACAAAAUCUGUUUGUAGAAAAUUUAUUUUAAAAACUUUCAGUCAUGGACCACUUUGAUGGUCUCAUAGUAUCUUAUAUUCCCAGGAUAAAGUCAAUCCUGCUCAGAAAUUAUCACCUUUUUAAAAACUAUACCAAAGCCAUAAUUCAUGCAUGUAUGGGAGUCGCAGGUCUUGGUAAUCACAGUCAUGUUUUAUUUCAAAUAUAAUUUCCAUAUGUGGAAACAGAUAUUUCUUCAUCUGUCAAGGAUUCUGAGAAUUAAGUACUUUUAUCAAGAUCUAGAAAUUUCCAAACCAAGAAUGUUUCCAGAGAGGCUCAAGUGAGCUUUUGUCUGCCAUUGUUGUAGUUAGCAUUAACUUUCACAUUUUCAUCCUCUUCUCCAGAACCACUGGGCCCAUUUCAAUCAAACUUGGCAGAAAUCAUCCUUGGGUGAAGGGGAAUCAAGUUUGUUGAAAUGAAGAUCCAUGCCCCCAUCAAAGGGGAGGUAAUCAAGAAAAGGCAAAAAUAGGGUGGGGUCAUUUAAAAAUCUUCUCAAGAACCACUGGGCCAUGCAGAAGAGUUAAGAUUUACAUGAAAGCUUCCUGACAUAGUGUAGAUUCAGAUUUAUUCAAAUCAUGGCUCCCAGUGGUAGGUUGAGGUCACCAUAUUGGUUGAAUUCAAGUUCGGUUUUGUCAUGAUCCUUUGGGGCUAGGUUGCGGCCACAAUAUGGGGUCAAAAAUUUUCAUGGGAAUAAUAUAAGAUUGAAAUUAAAAACAAAGAAAACUCACAAAAGCUAAACUACAGGAGGCCCUUAUUCUAGUUGACCCAAAUGAAAAAAAUACAUUCCACCAUUGUAAGACCUGUGUUGAAGGUGAAAAAUAUUUUGUACUUGAUUGUCCUUUAUACAAACAUGCAUAUAAGAAAAAAGUAUUCAAGAUGCAAAUCCAAAAUAUUUAGUAAAUGGUCAAUAUAUGAUAUUGUUUAUAACAAGUGAUGAAAAACCAAAGGCUUAUAGGUUAUAUUUGUUAUCAUUACUUUUAGUAUCAUUUUGUUGAUAUUCAUAUUUUCAAUACCUUUAAAUUAUGCCUAGCUGUCAAAUACUAGUUCAUGUAGAAAGUUUUUGUAUGGAAGAUACUGUAUGCAUGUGUGUGAUUUUGUGUGUGAGAUCAUCUAUUUAGAUGUAAUUGUAAAUGUCUAAAAAUAAAGCAUGGAGAAAAAAAAGUAUUCAAAAAUAUCAUGUGAUUAUCAUGUAUCUUGUUUAAUUACUGAAUCCUUUCAAUAUUGUAUCUACAAAUUUGUUUAUAUAUCAGAAACUCUUUAUACCUUAGAAACUGAUUGUUAGAAAUUGAUUGUUAAUUAUAAUACCAUGUAACACAAUAUAUAUAUGUAUUUUAUACUGCAUGACUAACAGCACUUACAUGUGCUUUUAAGUGCCAAUAAAGAAUUGAAUUGAAA